rnacentral:rRNA from 1 species
UGAGGAAUAUUGGUCAAUGGGCGAGAGCCUGAACCAGCCAAGUAGCGUGCAGGAUGACGGCCCUAUGGGUUGUAAACUGCUUUUAUAUGGGGAUAAAGUGGGGAACGUGUUCCCUUUUGCAGGUACCAUAUGAAUAAGGACCGGCUAAUUCCGUGCCAGCAGCCGCGGUAAUACGGAAGGUUCGGGCGUUAUCCGGAUUUAUUGGGUUUAAAGGGAGCGUAGGCCGUUUGGUAAGCGUGUUGUGAAAUGUAAGAGCUCAACUUUUAGAUUGCAGCGCGAACUGGCAGACUUGAGUGCGCACAACGUAGGCGGAAUUCAUGGUGUAGCGGUGAAAUGCUUAGAUAUCAUGACGAACUCCGAUUGCGAAGGCAGCUUACGGGAGCGCAACUGACGCUAAAGCUCGAAGGUGCGGGUAUCGAACAGG